GAUGAACGCUGGCGGCGUGCCUAAUACAUGCAAGUCGAGCGAACGGUCGAGAAGCUUGCUUCUCUGACGUUAGCGGCGGACGGGUGAGUAACACGUGGAUAACCUACCUAUAAGACUGGGAUAACUUCGGGAAACCGGAGCUAAUACCGGAUAAUAUCUUGAACCGCAUGGUUCAAAAGUAAAAGACGGUCUUGCUGUCACUUAUAGAUGGUUCCGCGCUGCAUUAGCUAGUUGGUAAGGUAACGGCUUACCAAGGCAACGAUGCAUAGCCGACCUGAGAGGAUGAUCGGCCACGCUAGAACUGGAACACGGUCCAGGCUCCUACGGGAGGCAGCAGUAGGCAAUCUUCCGCAAUGGUCGAAAGCCUGGCGGAGCAACGCCGCGUAAGUGAUGAAGGUCUUCGGAUCGUAAAACUCGGUUAUUAGGGAAGAACAUAUGUGUAAGGAGCUGUACACUUCUUGACGGUACCUAAUCAGAAAGCCACGGCUAACUACGUG
rnacentral:rRNA from 1 species